rnacentral:snRNA from 1 species
UCCCCGCGGUUUACCGUCCGCAGA